UACGUAGGGGGCAAGCGUUGUCCGGAUUUAUUGGGCGUAAAGAGCGUGUAGGCGGCCUGAAAGGUCAGCUGUGAAAACUCGAGGCUCAACCUCGAGACGUCGGUUGAAACCAUCUGGCUAGAGUCCGGAAGAGGAGUGUGGAAUUCCCGGUGUAGCGGUGAAAUGCGCAGAUAUCAGGAAGAACACCCGUGGCGAAGGCGGCACUCUGGGACGGUACUGACGCUGAGGCGCGAAGGCGUGGGGAGCGAACGGG
rnacentral:rRNA from 1 species